rnacentral:sRNA from 1 species
UAGCAAUACGCUACAGUCGAUCGGGCCA